AAAAUUAGCGGAUGACCUGUGGCUGGGGGUGAAAGGCCAAUCAAACCGGGAGAUAGCUGGUUCUCCCCGAAAGCUAUUUAGGUAGCGCCUCGUGAAUUCAUCUCCGGGGGUAGAGCACUGUUUCGGCUAGGGGGCCAUCCCGGCUUACCAACCCGAUGCAAACUGCGAAUACCGGAGAAUGUUAUCACGGGAGACACACGGCGGGUGCUAACGUCCGUCGUGAAGAGGGAAACAACCCAGACCGCCAGCUAAGGUCCCAAAGUCAUGGUUAAGUGGGAAACGAUGUGGGAAGGCCCAGACAGCCAGGAUGUUGGCUUAGAAGCAGCCAUCAUUUAAAGAAAGCGUAAUAGCUCACUGGUCGAGUCGGCCUGCGCGGAAGAUGUAACGGGGCUAAACCAUGCACCGAAGCUGCGGCAGCGACGCUUAUGCGUUGUUGGGUAGGGGAGCGUUCUGUAAGCCUGCGAAGGUGGCCUGUGAGGGUUGCUGGAGGUAUCAGAAGUGCGAAUGCUGACAUAAGUAACGAUAAAGCGGGUGAAAAGCCCGCUCGCCGGAAGACCAAGGGUUCCUGUCCAACGUUAAUCGGGGCAGGGUGAGUCGACCCCUAAGGCGAGGCCGAAAGGCGUAGUCGAUGGGAAACGGGUUAAUAUUCCCGUACUUGGUGUUACUGCGAAGGGGGGACGGAGAAGGCUAUGUUGGCCGGGCGACGGUUGUCCCGGUUUAAGCGUGUAGGUGUGUGUUCCAGGUAAAUCCGGUUCACUUUAACACUGAGGCGUGACGACGAGGCACUACGGUGCUGAAGCAACAAAUGCCCUGCUUCCAGGAAAAGCCUCUAAGCAUCAGGUAACAUCAAAUCGUACCCCAAACCGACACAGGUGGUCAGGUAGAGAAUACCAAGGCGCUUGAGAGAACUCGGGUGAAGGAACUAGGCAAAAUGGUGCCGUAACUUCGGGAGAAGGCACGCUGACAC
rnacentral:rRNA from 1 species